rnacentral:rRNA from 1 species
GAUUAAACCUUGUACCUUUUGCAUAAUGAUUUAGCCAGAAAAAAAUUAACAAAGAGAACUGAAGCUAAUUACCCCGAAACCAGACGAGCUAUCUAAUAAUAACUUUCUGAGUCAACUCAUCUAUGUGGCAAAAUAGUGAGAAAAUUACUAGAUAGAGGUGAAACGCCUAUCGAGCCUGGUGAUAGCUGGUUGUCCAAAUAAGAAUCUUAGUUCAACUUUAAAUUUACCUAUAUAGUGUAUAAUAAAUUGUAAAUUUAAAAGAUAAUUCUAAGAGGGACAGCUCUUAGAAUAAGGGGUACAGCCCUAAUCAGAGAGUAAU